GAAACAUCAUCCCACAGCACAUCAACUCCCAUUGUGAUCCUGCCCAUCCCUCUACUAUGUUGUCUGUGUCGCUGAUGCUCGUUUUCCUGGCUGCCAAUUUUCCAGGUGUCGUCUCACAGGUGGUGCUGACCCAGUCAGGUCCGGUCUCGAAAAAACCUGGAGAAUCUCACAAGCUGACCUGUGCCACCAGUGGGUUUACUCUCAGCAGCUACGGGAUGAGCUGGGUUAGACAGAAACCUGGAAAAGGACUGGAAUGGCUUGUAUACUAUUACAACACUGCAUCUGGGAACAGUCAUUACACUCCUGCAAUCCAAGGCCGAUUCACAGCCUCUAAGGACAGCUCCAACUUCUAUCUGCAGAUGAACAACCUGAAAGAGGAAGACACAGCCGUCUAUUACUGUGCAAGGGACACAGUGGUGCUGACUCAAGAAGGUCCAGUCUUGAAAAAACCCGGAGAAUCUCACAAGCUGACCUGCGCCACCAGAGGGUUUGAUCUUAGCAGCUACGGGAUGAACUGGGUUAGACAAAAAACUGGCAAAGGACUGGAAUGGACUGCAUACUAUCUCAACACUUGGAAUACUUAUUCUGCAAUCCAAGGCCGAUUCACGGCCUCUAAGGACAACUCCAACUUCUAUCUGCAAAUGAACGACCUGAAAGAAGAAGACACGCCGUCUAUUACUGUACAAGAAACACAGUGA